rnacentral:rRNA from 1 species
GACGAACGCUGGCGGCGUGCCUAAUACAUGCAAGUAGAACGCUGAAGGAGGAGCUUGCUUCUCCGGAUGAGUUGCGAACGGGUGAGUAACGCGUAGGUAACCUGCCUGGUAGCGGGGGAUAACUAUUGGAAACGAUAGCUAAUACCGCAUAACAGUAGAUGUUGCAUGACAUUUGCUUAAAAGGUGCAAUUGCAUCACUACCAGAUGGACCUGCGUUGUAUUAGCUAGUUGGUGAGGUAACGGCUCACCAAGGCGACGAUACAUAGCCGACCUGAGAGGGUGAUCGGCCACACUGGGACUGAGACACGGCCCAGACUCCUACGGGAGGCAGCAGUAGGGAAUCUUCGGCAAUGGACGGAAGUCUGACCGAGCAACGCCGCGUGAGUGAAGAAGGUUUUCGGAUCGUAAAGCUCUGUUGUAAGAGGAGAACGAGUGUGAGAGUGGAAAGUUCACACUGUGACGGUAUCUUACCAGAAAGGGACGGCUAACUACGUG